UUGGUUAGGAUUUACGGUGAAGGAGCGGAUAUUUUCUUUGAUCGCGAAGAGGAAAUUCGGACCUUUGGAUUGAUCUCGACCUACGGGCAUGGCCGCACCUUCUUGCUAAGUUUCCUGAAGGUAGAGUUGAGGAGUUUAUUCAUGCCAAGUGACCGGAAAGAUUGUUUGAGGGCAUUAUCAGAACAGAGUGAAAAUAGGGGAAGAAAACGGCAAAGGCGUCUUCUAAGCAGCCGUGGUUCAUGACCAAUACGCCAUUAAUUCAGAAUUCUGAUACUAAUCAGAUUGUUGUUCGUGAUUGACAAAGAGGUUUUGUCCGAUUUACGUCGGGACGAUGCACCAAUGCGCACGUUAGGUGGAUCAGGUUCAGAUGAAAGGACUGAGAAUGCCGUUGGUAGAGAUUUGGAUAAGAAGUGGAAUUUUGGUGAGCGGGCAGGUUGGGUGGGGUCAGAACGGGUUUAGGUUUAAACAUCAAGCUUCAGAAAUAUCAUGAUAGUUGGUGUAUCCCUGUUUAUAGGGUUAUCCUUACCCACGUAUUUUCAACAGUAUCAACCCGAAACCGCCUUAAUUCUUCCCGGUUACUUCAUUCCUUACUCGGCAGCACAAGAUGGGCCAAUUCACUCUGGAAAUAAGCAGGUAUGUUUAGUGAUGUAAACGAGCCAAGCCGCUCGUGAGCUACUCGAGAUCGGCCUGCUAAAAGCUCGAAUCGAGCCGAGCCUAAAAAAAGCUUGAUCCCGAACUUGCGCUUAAACAUAAGCUUGAGCCCGAAGCUGAGCUUAAAAAUAAGCUUGAGCUUCACUUAUUGAGCUGGCUCACGAGUAGGGGUGUUCAAAAAGCUCAAGACAAAAGCUCGUUGUAAACGAGCUGGCUCGGCUCGGCUCGAUUUGUAAACAAGCCGAGGUCGAGCUAGGCCUGGCUCUGCUUGGGAGCUCGCGAGCCGGCUCGAAUUAUUUUAAUUUUAUAUAGAUUAAUUGAAGUGAAAACAUUUUGAGUUUAGUUAAUCAAUAACAUAUAAAAAUAUGGGAAAAUAAACAAAAAUUAUUCAUA